rnacentral:rRNA from 1 species
AACGAACGCUGGCGGCGGGCCUCAUACAUGCAAGUCGAGCGCGAAAGUCCGCAAGGAUGAGUAAAGCGGCGCACGGGUGAGUAACACGUGGAUAAUCUACCCUUUGGAUUGGAAUAACCUGUCGAAAGACGGGCUAAUGCCGAGUAAGCUUACGAGUUCGUGAAGUUCUUGUAAGGAAAGAUGGCGCAAGCUAUCGCCGAUGGAUGAGUCUGCGUCCCAUUAGUUAGUUGGUGGGGUAAUGGCUUACCAAGACUAUGAUGGGUACCUGGUCUGAGAGGAUGACCAGGCACACUGGAACUGAAACACGGUCCGGACUCCUACGGGAGGCAGCAGUAGGGAAUAUUGCGCAAUGGACGAAAGUCUGACGCAGCCACGCCGCGUGAGUGAGGAAGGCCUCGGUUGUAAG